AUUGAACGCUGGCGGCAGGCCUAACACAUGCAAGUCGAACGGCAGCACAGAGGAGCUUGCUCCUUGGGUGGCGAGUGGCGGACGGGUGAGGAAUGCGUCGGAAUCUGCCUUUUUGUGGGGGAUAACGUAGGGAAACUUACGCUAAUACCGCAUACGACCUACGGGUGAAAGUGGGGGACCGCAAGGCCUCACGCAGAAAGAUGAGCCGACGCCGGAUUAGCUAGUUGGCGGGGUAAAGGCCCACCAAGGCGACGAUCCGUAGCUGGUCUGAGAGGAUGAUCAGCCACACUGGGACUGAGACACGGCCCAGACUCCUACGGGAGGCAGCAGUGGGGAAUAUUGGACAAUGGGCGCAAGCCGGAUCCAGCCAUGCCGCGUGUGUGAAGAAGGCCUUCGGGUUGUAAAGCACUUUUGUCCGGAAAGAAAUCCUUUCGAUUAAUACUCGGGAGGGAUGACGGUACCGGAAGAAUAAGCACCGGCUAACUUCGUGCCAGCAGCCGCCGUAACAC
rnacentral:rRNA from 1 species